rnacentral:tRNA from 5 species
GGCGAGAUAGCUCAGUUGGUUAGAGCGCAGGAUUCAUAACCCUGAGGUCGGCAGUUCAAAUCUGCUUCUCGCUA